rnacentral:rRNA from 1 species
CCUACGGGAGGCAGCAGUGAGGAAUAUUGGUCAAUGGACGAGAGUCUGAACCAGCCAAGUCGCGUGAAGGAUGACUGCCCUACGGGUUGUAAACUUCUUUUAUCUGGGAAUAAAAUGUUCCACGUGUGGGAUUUUGUAUGUAACAUAUGAAUAAGGAUCGGCUAAAUCCGUGCCAGCAGCCGCGGUAAUACGGAGGAUCCGAGCGUUAUUCGGAUUUAUUGGGGUUAAAGGGAGGGUAGAGGGGUUGUUAAGUCAGGUGUGAAAGUUUGCGGGUCAACCGUAAAAUUGCAAUUGAUACUGGCAGUCUUGAGUAGAGGUGAGGAAGGCGGAAUUCGUGGUGUAGCGGUGAAAUGCUUAGAUAUCACGAAGAACUCCGAUUGCGAAGGCAGCUUACUAAACUGCCACUGACGUUGAGGCUCGAAAGUGUGGGUAUCGAACAGGAUUAGAUACCCCAGUAGUC